UCCCCCUUAGCUCAGCGGUAGAGCGCUUCACUAGUAUACACUCGGGUUGCCGACUCCCUAUAGCUAGUCGGUCUGCCCGAGUGUACAAUGAAGAGGUCAGUCGUUCAAGUCGGCUAGGGGGAA